CAGCAGCCGCGGUAAUACCGAGGGUGCGAGCGUUAAUCGGAUUUACUGGGCGUAAAGCGUGCGUAGGCGGCUUCUUAAGUCGGAUGUGAAAUCCCUGAGCUUAACUUAGGAAUUGCAUUCGAUACUGGGAAGCUAGAGUAUGGGAGAGGAUGGUAGAAUUCCAGGUGUAGCGGUGAAAUGCGUAGAGAUCUGGAGGAAUACCGAUGGCGAAGGCAGCCAUCUGGCCUAAUACUGACGCUGAGGUACGAAAGCAUGGGGAGCAAACAGGAUUAGAUACCCCCGUAGUCCCUGUCUCUUAUAU
rnacentral:rRNA from 1 species